rnacentral:rRNA from 1 species
UACGUAGGGGGCAAGCGUUGUCCGGAAUUAUUGGGCGUAAAGAGCGCGUAGGCGGUCCGGUAAGUCGGCUGUGAAAGUCAAGGGCUCAACCCUUGAAAGCCGGCCGAUACUGUCGGACUAGAGUCCGGAAGAGGCGAGUGGAAUUCCCGGUGUAGCGGUGAAAUGCGCAGAUAUCGGGAGGAACACCAAUGGCGAAGGCAGCUCGCUGGGGACGGUACUGACGCUG